rnacentral:snoRNA from 1 species
AACCCUUGGUGAGGAAACCUUCUCAAAAGUUCCUUGUAUCUCUCCUAUGCAUCGUAGAGUGUUUCUAAAUCCAUUUGCACAAAAGAAGAGAUAUCAUUACGUAAUUU